CAAUGAUGUAGAUCCAUUUAUGUAUGGAUUAUUUUUUAUGCAUAUGGUAUAGUACUAGCACCAGAAAAUAAGACUGAUAAUCAACAGACUUCAGAAUGGACAUACUAGCCUUCUAGAAGUGCUAACUUCUGACCUAGACCUCACUGGUUCUGUGUGCACAGCUGCAACAGAGCUACAACCUGCAUGUGAGUACCCUGUCAGGACUGCAUUCUUCAGGAUCCUUUGUAGCAAAU